UACGGAGGGUGCAAGCGUUGUUCGGAAUCACUGGGCGUAAAGGGCGCGUAGGCGGCCGAUCAAGUCUGAUGUGAAAGCCCUGGGCUUAACCCAGGAAGUGCAUUGGAAACUGGUCGGCUUGAGUUCGGGAGAGGAGGGCAGAAUUCCCGGUGUAGGGGUGAAAUCCGUAGAGAUCGGGAGGAAAACCAGUGGCGAAGGCGGCCCUCUGGAACGAAACUGACGUUGAGGCGCGAAAGCGUGGGGAGCAAACAGG
rnacentral:rRNA from 1 species